AGUGACUUAGGUUAACCAGACCAAGAGCCUUCAAAGCCCUAAGCGGAAGUGAAAAUCCUCCAGUUACUG
rnacentral:tRNA from 1 species